GUUUGGCUCUUGCCGUCGUAGUACUCGGCCUUGCUCUUGUCGGUGGCCUCGUUGGCACCGUGCUUGACAGUGCCGACGGCGCCGUCGAGCUUGUCGCCGACGGUGCUGCCGUGCUUGGCCUGCUCCUGGUUGGCCUUGCGCUGGGCCUCCUCGGUGUUGCCCGUGAGCUUGUUGGCGGCCCAGUUGACGUUGUCCUUCACGGUGUUGACGGUGGACUCGACGAUACCCUCGCCCUGAGCGUUGUUGCCAGACAUGAUGAUGAAGUUGUGUGGUGAAAAGGUUUU
rnacentral:misc_RNA from 1 species